CAGAGAACUUGCCCUUCGGGGUAGAUCUCCCACCCUUUGUCUACCAUACUUUGUUGCUUUGGCAGGCCCGCCCUUGGGCCGCCGGCUCCGGCUGGCCAGCGCCUGCCAGAGGACCACAAACUCUUGUUUUUAGUGUCGUCUGAGUAACUUGAUAAUAGUUA
rnacentral:misc_RNA from 1 species